rnacentral:lncRNA from 1 species
ACACUUGCACUACCUCCUCCUGGAAGCUUAGAACCUUUCUCCAAACUAGGAUUAUUCCCUCCUAAGACCUCUCACAUCUUUUAGCUUGUGCCUUUUUUGCAGGUGCUUUGAUUCCACUUGUACUUCAACCAUCUGUGAGCUACUUCUAUUCUCUUUAGGAGACUGGCAACUUCCUAAAGGCAGAGGGCCACCAUUACUGAGUGUCUACUUUGCCUUGCUCUGCACCUGUGGUGCAAAUGUGUAUGCGGGCCACCAUGCCACAUCUGCCACCUCUCUCACAGCACUGCUGGGGGAACAGGAGAAGCACUGGAGGUGGCGGGCUUUGCCUUACUACACAUGGCAUAUGCAUUUUAAAUAAGGACUUUGAUCUGGAAGCAGGAGAGCAUAUUUAUUGCCUCAACUCAGCUUGAUUUGGGCUCUUCUGUCCCACAAAUGACACCAACCCUCACCGGCCUGAAGACCUUGCCUGAAAGAGAAAGAGCAGUGGCGUGAAGUCAGAAGAGGUGCAUUUACCUGCCACCUUUGCCUCUGUCUG